GGAGAUCGAGCAGGUGAAGGAGCGGGUCCUGAACAGGCUCCAUCAGGUACAGAGGAUAACACGGAGACUCCAGCAGGAGCGGGGGUUCCUCAUGAGGGUGCUGGACUCCUACGGCGAUGACUACCAGGCCAGCCAGUUCACCAUCUUACUGGAGGAUGAGGGCAGCCAGGGCACAGACGCCCCCACCCCAGGCAACGCUGAGAACGAGCCUUCGGAGAAAGAGGGGCUGUCCCUGCCCAGGAGGACGCCAGCGCCUAUAGAAGCCAGCAGCCUGGCCCCUGGCGAGGGGCCCAGCGGGCGGAAGAGGCGGCGAGUGCCACGGGAAGGGCGCCGGGUGGGAGUCCCGCUGACUCCGGAGCUGGCCCCCGUGCAGAUAAAGGUGGAGGAAGACUUUGGCUUCAAAGCGGUCGAGGCUCUGGACUCAAGUUGGGUUUCUCGGGGGCCAGACCAGCUGCUGCCCUACCCCACCCUAGCCAGCCCCCACUUUGACUGACCCCCCAAUAAAUGGACGCCAUGCUC